AGAAUCAACGCUGGCGGCGUGCCUAACACAUGCAAGUCGAACGAGAAGGUGGAGCAAUCCAUGAGUACAGUGGCGUACGGGUGAGUAACACGUGACUACCUACCCUCGAGUGGGGAAUAACCUCGGGAAACCGGGCUAAUACCGCAUAACAUCUACGGAUCAAAUGCGAAAGCAGCUUGAGGAGGGGUCGCGGCCGAUUAGCUAGUUGGUGAGGUAAUGGCCCACCAAGGCAAUGAUCGGUAGCCGGCCUGAGAGGGCGCACGGCCACACUGGAACUGAAACACGGUCCAGACUCCUACGGGAGGCAGCAGUGGGGAAUUUUGCGCAAUGGGGGAAACCCUGACGCAGCAACGCCGCGUGGAGGAUGAAGCCCCUUGGGGUGUAAACUCCUUUCGAUCGGGACGAUUAUGACGGUACCGGAAGAAGAGCACCGGCUAACUCUGUGCCAGCAGCCGC
rnacentral:rRNA from 1 species